GCCCUGGCCCGGGAUUUAUCAAUCUCAGCUUAGCAAAUGUCUUAAGUCGAAAAAGUUAAGAAGUAGCUAAGCAAAAAUCUUAAGCUGAUUUAUCAAACCGUCUUAGCAAAAUCUUAGCAAAAAUAUCAUCUUAGAUGGCGCAUGCGUACAAUCGACUUCUUGUAGCUUAUAGAGGGCAGCAAAUUUUGUCUUAAGUCGAAAAAUAUUUGCUUACGCAUGCGUAAAAGCCAUUUUUGUGAUUUCAACCGGAAGUGAACUGUCAAAGGUUACGAGAGAUACAGUAAACAAACCAUGUAAGAAACUUAUGUGCUCGCCAUGCUGGAUGUUCGCUAGUGAAGAUUUUAUCGUUAUUCUUUCUUAUCUGUUUUAUAUGGAUGGUAAGACGUCUACUAUCACUGUCAGUUUAAUUUGGAUGAACUACAUACAGCUGUGAAAAGUUUGUGGCAUUAAAGGACUUUUACGAUUGAGAGUGCUGGCAGAGAGAAGAGGCGGCCAACAACGAGCAAGGCUAGAGAAAGGCCUGGCCUAGUUUGGUAGAGUGGUCUAGCUAGGCUAGAGCAUUAGCGAGAAAGCUUAGUUUAGCCUACUAGCUAGGCUAGGGGGCCUAGGCUACACCGCUAAUAUAGACCAAAAAAUCAGACGCGGUAACCGAAACAUCUAGGCCUACGACAACUACUAAUUUUUAAAAUGACAAUUGUUGUUUUUGACUUGAGAGAGAUUUCCAGAAAUUUACCCAUGAUGUGUCUACAGUGCAGCAAAACCAGGUUGCGAAAUGCAGUGGGCAAAGCUGAACUACUAUAAGUUCAGUACCUGUAAUAGCCAAUUCGUAGAGCAUUAUAGAAGCUUUCAGACCUACUGCAGAAUUCAAAACCAACACCUCAGACCCAGGGGCUAGUGACGUCCUCUUCUGCCAGCUUCAAGGAUUCAACCAUAUUUAAGUAUUCGAAGGAGCUCACUAUCGAAUAAUUAUUUGUUUAUACCUUGCAAUUUCAAAGCGCUGACGACAUCCGAAAAAAAUGCUUAUGAUACCAAUGAUAUUUGCAUGGUGUAAAGUAAUAAUAUACAUUUUAUAUAUUAGGUAAAUCACAAGACAUAAUUUCUCACAUUAAAUAUAUAUUGCUCUUUGCUGUGUAAAAGCACAUAUACAGUAGAUCUAUAUUUAUUGUUGUACCAAGUGUCUCAUGAAAUCUUCUCAUAUUCAUUCCAAAAGCAAUAAGCUACCAAUUAUCAGUACAAUAGAUAUAAAAUUGUGAAGAAAAGUGUAAUAAACGCUAAUGAUUGUAAUAAUGAAUGGUUUUUGGAGUCCUUUAUUUGUUAUGAAUUGUAUUUUUUCAUAUUUUAAAACAACUGUGGUUCAUAUGGUGGGUAGCAUAAAUUUAAUUAUUUUUGUUUUUACUGUUAUAGUAUGUUGUACAUUAUAAUUGUGUUAAAUUUUUCAAUCAAGUGUGGGCAGUGUAGUUGUUAUUAGACAAAAAGCCAAUUCCUAAUAAAAGCUGAAUUUUGCUAAAUAUAUAUUUUAUAAACCAUAAAGCUGAUGGAAUUGAAACUUUUGCUGCUUAUAUUCAUUGUUUUGGCAAGUCAAAUUUCUGUUUUGCUAAUUAAUGUCAUACCAAAUUAGCUAAAUUGUGAAACAAAAUCUCCACUAAAUAAUAUGAACGAAUGGUGCUGUGUGUAGGCCAAAACUAUCAUAACUAUUAUUAUUAUUAAUAGUUUUAUUAUUACUAUACUAAUAUUAUUAUUAUUAUUAUCACUAUUAGUAAAUUGUCUUAUGCUUUUUUCACUUUGUUGUAUUUGUUGCUAUUGCUAUUGUUAUUGCUGUUGCUGUUGCUGUUGUUAUUGUUGUUAUUGUUGCUGCUGUUGUUGUUGUUGUUGUUGUUAUUGUUGCUGCUGUUGUUGUUAUUGUU
rnacentral:lncRNA from 1 species